AUUGAACGCUGGCGGAAUGCUUUACACAUGCAAGUCGAACGGCAGCACGGGGCAACCUGGUGGCGAGUGGCGAACGGGUGAGUAAUACAUCGGAACGUGCCCAAUCGUGGGGGAUAACGUAGCGAAAGUUACGCUAAUACCGCAUACGAUCUACGGAUGAAAGCGGGGGAUCGCAAGACCUCGCGCGAAUGGAGCGGCCGAUGUCAGAUUAGGUAGUUGGUGGGGUAAAGGCUCACCAAGCCGACGAUCUGUAGCUGGUCUGAGAGGACGACCAGCCACGCUGGGACUGAGACACGGCCCAGACUCCUACGGGAGGCAGCAGUGGGGAAUUUUUGGACAAUGGGCGGCAAGCCUGAUCCAGCCAUUCCGCGUGCAGGAUGAAGGCCUCGUGUA
rnacentral:rRNA from 1 species